rnacentral:rRNA from 1 species
AUACGUAGGGUGCGAGCGUUAAUCGGAAUUACUGGGCGUAAAGCGUGCGCAGGCGGUUAUGUAAGACAGAUGUGAAAUCCCCGGGCUCAACCUGGGAACUGCGUUUGUGACUGCAUAACUAGAGUACGGCAGAGGGAGGUGGAAUUCCACGUGUAGCAGUGAAAUGCGUAGAGAUGUGGAGGAACACCGAUGGCGAAGGCAGCCUCCUGGGCCAGUACUGACGCUCAUGCACGAAAGCGUGGGGAGC